rnacentral:rRNA from 1 species
UACGUACCGUCCAAACGUUAUUCGGAAUUACUGGGCUUAAAGGGUUUGUAGGCGGCGCUGUUAGUCGGGUGUGAAAUCCCAGGGCUCAACCCCUGGAACUGCGCCCGAUACUGCAGUGCUUGAGGGAGACAGAGGUAAGCGGAACUGAUGGUGGAGCGGUGAAAUGCGUUGAUAUCAUCAGGAACACCGGUGGCGAAAGCGGCUUACUGGGUCUCUUCUGACGGCUGAGGCGCGAAAGCCAGGGGAGCAAACGGG